GGAAAGUCUCUGGUGAAAUCCUGCGGCUUAACUGUAGGGCUUGCCGAAGAAACUCUCGACUAGAGGAUGGGAGAGGUCGGAGGUACUUCUGGGGUAGGGGUGAAAUCCUAUAAUCCUAGAAGGACCAACAGUGGCGAAGGCGUCCGACAUGAACAUGCCUGACAGUGAGGGACGAGAGCCAGGGUCGCGAAACGGAUUAGAUACCCGUGUAGUCCUGGCCGUAAACGAUGUUGACUAGGUGGGGCGAGUCCUUUCAGGUCGUGCUAUGCCGAAGGGAAACCGUUAAGUCAACCGCCUGGGGAGUACGUCCGCAAGGAUGAAACUUAAAGGAAUUGGCGGGGGA
rnacentral:rRNA from 1 species